GCCCCAGUCUCUGGUUUCCGACCCGCUUCUAGCUCAGGAACGCUGGCUUUCAUUUCUCAUGGAGAAAUUUUAUGGGGGCUGUUUGGUCAGGAAUAUUUGCAGAAUUUUCAGGUCUCUUUUUAUCUUUCAGAUAUGCAAGACCAUCGUGUAAAUAACAAUGCUGGCUCCUUUCUGAAGAAAUACAGGUCUUGCAUUGUAGCACAUAAAUCGACCGUGUCUGCAGGUGGACCAGGCAGGUGUAGAAGUCCUUUUGCUGCUAACACAUCUCUGGCUUGUCCGAAGCAUGCCCUGGCUUGGCGGGAGCGAGGCUUUCAGGACGCCCCGGUUUUGUCCCACAGUCUGAAAUCGUGCCCUGAGCACCAGCCACCCAAAGGCCCGUGCUAAGGGAGCUGGCGUUUUUUGGCUGGAUAUUUGGAGGACACACGUUCCGGGUGCAGUUGGUGACAUCUUGCUGGGACCCGCGGUGCAGCGAAUCGUGUUGCAGCCUCUCGAACACCCACACACCGUCAUCGACGGGGUCUGGCACGGGAAAAUUAAGUGGUAGCGAAAGGAGCAACCAAGAUCUUAUAUAAUGGGGGAAUGGCCAUGCCCGUGCAGGUGUGAAGAAAUGGAGCUGCGAAGGGGCAACGGCUCGUCUAGAAGUCAGUGCCCUCAGCAGCGCCUGCCAAGCUGGACACACAACGUUUUUGAGAAGCGUCCUGCUCUUGUAACUGGGGAACUGCUGCUCAUAACCUGCCGCAGCCAAACCCCAGCGAGACCGCUCGCUGGGCUAGGGAGUAUUCGUGAGAGGGAGGAUUGCAAAACCCGCUCCUGCCUGGUGCCCUUCCUCCCCCUCCUCUUCUGCCCUCGCGCUGCUGCGGG